rnacentral:rRNA from 1 species
GUGAGGAAUUUUCCGCAAUGGGCGAAAGCCUGACGGAGCAAUGCCGCGUGAAGGAUGAGGCCUAUGGGUUGUAAACUUCUUUUCUCAGAAAAGAAUUAUGACGGUAUCUGAGGAAUAAGCAUCGGCUAACUCUGUGCCAGCAGCCGCGGUAAGACAGAGGAUGCAAGCGUUAUCCGGAAUGAUUGGGCGUAAAGCGUCUGUAGGUUGUUUAAAAAGUAUUCUGUCAAAGAUUAGGGCUUAACCCUAGAUAGGCAGAAUAAACUUUUAAGCUAGAGUUUGGUAGAGGCAGAGGGAAUUCCCGGUGGAGCGGUGAAAUGCGUAGAUAUCGGGAGGAACACCAAAGGCGAAGGCACUCUGCUGGGCCAAUACUAACACUGAGAGACGAAAGCGAGGGGAGCAAAUGGGAUUAGAAACCCUGGUAGUCC